AUGUGAUGAACACAGAUGACGAGUCUUAUUCGGGUUACCGAUGCAGACAACAUAUUUCUUUAUACCAUUCAUGCCUAACUGAUU
rnacentral:snoRNA from 1 species